UAAUUAAUAAUUUUGUAUAAAAAUUUUCCCGAAUUUAGAAGAGUUAAGAGAUAAUAAAUUUUAUUGUAAAAUAAAUAUUUAUAAUUAUUUUUUAGUAAUGAAACGUUAGUCGUUUCUAAUUAUAUCUGGUUUUCUAAGAAAUUAAUUUAAUUAAUUAUUCAUAUAAUAAAUUUAAUAUUUAGAUAUUAAGUUUUUUAUGAGUAAAAAUCUUUUAAGGGAUAAGCUUUGAAAGAUAUUAAUAUAAGAUAGAAAGUUUUACAAAUUUUAUAUGAUUAUAAGUUUUAACUAUUAGGAGUGUGUUAUAACUAAAUUUGUAUUGAUUAUAUUUAUAUUAUUUUUAUAUAAUUUAUUUGAAUUUUAAUUUUAAUAAGUUAUUUUAUGCAAUAAUGAUUGAAUUAGUAUAUGUAAUUGUAUAUUUAAUAAAAAAAAUGUUAGAUGAUGUAAAGGAAUUCGGCAAAUAAAUUUCCGCCUGUUUAUUAAAAACAUGUCUUUUUGAUGAUGAUUUAAGGUUUAACCUGCCCACUGAAUAUUGAAUGGCCGCGGUAAUUUGACCGUGCGAAGGUAGCAUAAUAAUUAGUUUCUUGAUUGGGAACUGGAAUGAAUGGUUGGACGAGAAAUUUUCUGUCUCUGUAUUAUUAUUAGAAUUUUAUAUUUAAGUAAAAAAGCUUAGAUUUGUUUAAAAGACGAGAAGACCCUAUAGAGUUUAAUAUUUAAUUAAUUUUUAAUAUGUGGGAUUAUUAAUUUAAUUUUGAUACUAUAUUUUGUUGGGGUGAUAGAAAAAUUUAAUUAACUUUUUUUUUUUGUUAUCAUUAAUUUAUGAAUCAUUGAUCCGUUGUUUACGAUUAAAAGAUUAAAUUACCUUAGGGAUAACAGCGUAAUCUUUUUUGAGAGUUCAUAUCGAAAGAGUGGAUUGCGACCUCGAUGUUGGAUUAAAAUUAAUUAUUGGUGUAGAGGCUAAUAAAUUAGGUCUGUUCGACCUUUAAAAUUUU
rnacentral:rRNA from 1 species